rnacentral:rRNA from 1 species
GAUGAACGCUAGCUACAGGCUUAACACAUGCAAGUCGAGGGGAAACGAUAUUGGAAGCUUGCUUCCGAUAGGCGUCGACCGGCGCACGGGUGAGUAACGCGUAUCCAACCUGCCCAUCACUUGGGGAUAACCUUGCGAAAGUAAGACUAAUACCCAAUGACGUCUCUAGAAGACAUCUGAAAGAGAUUAAAGAUUUAUCGGUGAUGGAUGGGGAUGCGUCUGAUUAGCUUGUUGGCGGGGUAACAGCCCACCAAGGCGACGAUCAGUAGGGGGUCAGAGAGGAAGGUCCCCCACAUUGGAACUGAGACACGGUCCAAACUCCUACGGGAGGCAGCAGUGAGGAAUAUUGGUCAAUGGACGAGAGUCUGAACCAGCCAAGUAGCGUGCAGGAAGACGGCCCUAUGGGUUGUAAACUGCUUUUAUAAGGGAAUAAAGUGAGUCUCGUGAGACUUUUUGCAUGUACCUUAUGAAUAAGGACCGGCUAAUUCCGUGCCAGCAGCCGCCGCGGUAA